GGGGCGGUAGCUCAAUUGGGAGAGCGCGGCCUUUGCAAGGCUGAGGUUGAGGGUUCGAUCCCCUUCCGCUCCA
rnacentral:tRNA from 1 species